ACGAACGCUGGCGGCGUGCUUCACACAUGCAAGUCGUACGGUAAGGCCCUUUCGGGGGUCCCCGAGUGGCGAACGGGUGAGUAACACGUGAGUAACCUGCCCACAACUUUGGGAUAACGCUAGGAAACUGGUGCUAAUACUGGAUAUGUGCUCCUGCUGCAUGGUGGGGGUUGGAAAGCUCCGGCGGUUGUGGAUGGACUCGCGGCCUAUCAGCUUGUUGGUGGGGUAGUGGCCUACCAAGGCGGCGACGGGUAGCCGGCCUGAGAGGGUGACCGGCCACAUUGGGACUGAGAUACGGCCCAGACUCCUACGGGAGGCAGCAGUGGGGAAUAUUGCACAAUGGGCGCAAGCCUGAUGCAGCAACGCCGCGUGCGGGAUGACGGCCUUCGGGUUGUAAACCGCUUUCAGCAGGGACGAAGCUUUUUGUGACGGUACCUGCAGAAGAAGCACCGGCUAACUACGUG
rnacentral:rRNA from 1 species